GACGAACGCUGGCGGCGUGCCUAAUACAUGCAAGUAGAACGCUGAAGGAGGAGCUUGCUUCUCUGGAUGAGUUGCGAACGGGUGAGUAACGCGUAGGUAACCUGCCUGGUAGCGGGGGAUAACUAUUGGAAACGAUAGCUAAUACCGCAUAAGAGUAGAUGUUGCAUGACAUUUGCUUAAAAGGUGCAAUUGCAUCACUACCAGAUGGACCUGCGUUGUAUUAGCUAGUUGGUGAGGUAACGGCUCACCAAGGCAACGAUACAUAGCCGACCUGAGAGGGUGAUCGGCCACACUGGGACUGAGACACGGCCCAGACUCCUACGGGAGGCAGCAGUAGGGAAUCUUCGGCAAUGGACGGAAGUCUGACCGAGCAACGCCGCGUGAGUGAAGAAGGUUUUCGGAUCGUAAAGCUCUGUUGUAAGAGAAGAACGAGUGUGAGAGUGGAAAGUUCACACUGUGACGGUAUCUACCAGAAAAGGAC
rnacentral:rRNA from 1 species